CGCUGGCGGCGUGCCUAAUACAUGCAAGUCGAACGGUCUUUCUAUGGAAGCUUGCUUCCACUGAGAAGAUAGUGGCGAACGGGUGAGUAACACGUGGGUAACCUGCCCAUAAGAGGGGGAUAACAUCCGGAAACGGGUGCUAAUACCGCAUAGUUUUCUUGAUCGCAUGAUCGGGAAAGGAAAGACGGCCUUUGUGCUGUCGCUUAUGGAUGGACCCGCGGCGUAUUAGUUAGUUGGUGAGGUAACGGCUCACCAAGACGAUGAUACGUAGCCGACCUGAGAGGUGAUCGGCCACAUUGGGACUGAGACACGGCCCAACUCCUACGGGAGGCAGCAGUAGGGAAUCUUCCGCAAUGGACGAAAGUCUGACGGAGCAACGCCGCGUGAGUGAAAGAAGGUUUUCGGAUCGUAAAACUCUGUUGUCAGAGAAGAACAAGUUGGAGAGUAACUGCUCCAGCCUUGACGGUACCUGACCAGAAAGCCACGGCUAACUACGUGCCAGCAGCGGC
rnacentral:rRNA from 1 species